AAAAAGAUGCCUGAAUAAAGGAUCAUUCUGAUAGAAUGAAUUAAGUAAAAAAUUACUCUUUUUA
rnacentral:tRNA from 1 species